rnacentral:rRNA from 1 species
CGGAAAGGCCAGUGCUUGCGCUGGUACUCGAGUGGCGAACGGGUGAGUAACACGUGGGUGAUCUGCCCUGCACUUCGGGAUAAGCUUGGGAAACUGGGUCUAAUACCGGAUAGGACCAUUGGUUGGUGCCUUUGGUGAAAGUUUUUUCGGUGUGGGAUGAGCUCGCGGCCUAUCAGCUUGUUGGUGGGGUAAUGGCCUACCAAGGCGUCGACGGGUAGCCGGCCUGAGAGGGUGUACGGCCACAUUGGGACUGAGAUACGGCCCAGACUCCUACGGGAGGCAGCAGUGGGGAAUAUUGCACAAUGGGCGCAAGCCUGAUGCAGCGACGCCGCGUGGGGGAUGACGGCCUUCGGGUUGUAAACUCCUUUCGCCAAAGACGAAUGUGGACGGUAUUUGGAGAAGAAGCACCGGCUAACUACGUG